CUGGAAACGGCGUCUAAUACUGGAUAUGAGACGUGAUCGCAUGGUCGUGUUUGGAAAGAUUUUUCGGUCUGGGAUGGGCUCGCGGCCUAUCAGCUUGUUGGUGAGGUAAUGGCUCACCAAGGCGUCGACGGGUAGCCGGCCUGAGAGGGUGACCGGCCACACUGGGACUGAGACACGGCCCAGACUCCUACGGGAGGCAGCAGUGGGGAAUAUUGCACAAUGGGCGGAAGCCUGAUGCAGCAACGCCGCGUGAGGGAUGACGGCCUUCGGGUUGUAAACCUCUUUUAGCAGGGAAGAAGCGAAAGUGACGGUACCUGCAGAAAAAGCGCCGGCUAACUACGUGCCAGCAGCCGCGGUAAUACGUAGGGCGCAAGCGUUAUCCGGAAUUAUUGGGCGUAAAGAGCUCGUAGGCGGUUUGUCGCGUCUGCUGUGAAAUCCCGAGGCUCAACCUCGGGCCUGCAGUGGGUACGGGCAGACUAGAGUGCGGUAGGGGAGAUUGGAAUUCCUGGUGUAGCGGUGGAAUGCGCAGAUAUCAGGAGGAACACCGAUGGCGA
rnacentral:rRNA from 1 species